GAUGAACGCUGGCGGCGUGCCUAAUACAUGCGAGUCGAGCGAACAGACGAGGAGCUUGCUCCUCUGACGUUAGCGGCGGACGGGUGAGUAACACGUGGAUAACCUACCUAUAAGACUGGGAUAACUUCGGGAAACCGGAGCUAAUACCGGAUAAUAUAUUGAACCGCAUGGUUUAAUAGUGAAAGACGGUUUUGCUGUCACUUAUAGAUGGAUCCGCGCCGCAUUAGCUAGUUGGUAAGGUAACGGCUUACCAAGGCGACGAUGCGUAGCCGACCUGAGAGGGUGAUCGGCCACACUGGAACUGAGACACGGUCCAGACUCCUACGGGAGGCAGCAGUAGGGAAUCUUCCGCAAUGGGCGAAAGCCUGACGGAGCAACGCCGCGUGAGUGAUGAAGGUCUUCGGAUCGUAAAACUCUGUUAUUAGGGAAGAACAAAUGUGUAAGUAACUAUGCACGUCUUGACGGUACCUAAUCAGAAAGCCACGGCUAACUACGUG
rnacentral:rRNA from 1 species